rnacentral:rRNA from 1 species
UACGUAGGGCGCAAGCGUUAUCCGGAAUUAUUGGGCGUAAAGAGCUCGUAGGCGGUUUGUCGCGUCUGCCGUGAAAGUCCGGGGCUCAACUCCGGAUCUGCGGUGGGUACGGGCAGACUAGAGUGCAGUAGGGGAGACUGGAAUUCCUGGUGUAGCGGUGAAAUGCGCAGAUAUCAGGAGGAAACACCGAUGGCGAAGGCAGGUCUCUGGGCUGUAACUGACGUGAGGAGCGAAAGCAUGGGGAGCGAACAGG